GAUCAAGUGUGGCACAGUGGUUUGAGUGUUGACUACAACUCUGGGGAUCAGGGUUCAAAUCCCUGUUGGGCCA